GAUGAACGCUGGCGGCGUGCCUAAUACAUGCCAGUCGAGCGAACAGACGAGGAGCUUGCUCCUCUGACGUUAGCGGCGGACGGGUGAGUAACACGUGGAUAACCUACCUAUAAGACUGGGAUAACUUCGGGAAACCGGAGCUAAUACCGGAUAAUAUAUUGAACCGCAUGGUUCAAUAGUGAAAGACGGUUUUGCUGUCACUUAUAGAUGGAUCCGCGCCGCAUUAGCUAGUUGGUAAGGUAACGGCUUACCAAGGCAACGAUGCGUAGCCGACCUGAGAGGGGGAUCGGCCACACUGGAACUGAGACACGGUCCAGACUCCUACGGGAGGCAGCAGUAGGGAAUCUUCCGCAAUGGGCGAAAACCUGACGGAGCAACGCCGCGUGAGUGAUGAAGGUCUUCGGAUCGUAAAACUCUGUUAUUAGGGAAGAACAAAUGUGUAAGUAACUAUGCACGUCUUGACGGUACCUAAUCAGAAAGCCACGGCUAACUACGUG
rnacentral:rRNA from 1 species